rnacentral:pre_miRNA from 1 species
GAUAUCAACUGAAAAAAUCAUCAACAACAAAGUUGAAUAACUCGUCAAGAUCUAAAACUUUUAUUUUGGUCAUUUUCUUCAUACGAAAAAGUGAUAGUAACAUUGUUCACAAAAUUGACAUAUCUCUUAUCUGGUUUUAUAAACUAUAACACAUAUAUGUAAAUUUUGUGAAUAAUAUUACUAACAUUUCGUCGGAUGAAGAAAUAACAAAAAUAAAUUUUUUAGAUCUUGAUGAGUUAUUCAACUUUGUUGUUGAUGACUUUUUCAAUUGAAAUC